rnacentral:lncRNA from 1 species
GAGCAAUAGAGGGAUUUGAAAAAUACUAUUUAUUACCCUGUCCACACUGGACUAUAAUAGAGGAUUUUGUACUACCUUAACUUCCAAACGUAAUGGCGACCAGCAAUGCGGCUGUUUGGGGUCCAAAAGAAUAUCCUUUCCGGACAAAAUCUACAAAGAAUAUACGUGAAAACUUACAUGUUUGUCUUUGUUUCCUUCCCAAAAACAGACACAAGGGAUCCAUCCAUCACCCAAUUAUGUCAUGUUCCUUCCCCAUCCAAUAACCCAAGUGGCCAAAUGUCCGCUUCUGCUCUCCCUCGCUCACAGAUUCAUUGGCCUCACCCGGCAGUUUUGGCACCAAAGCCCACACCUUGUCCCUAGCUUGUGUACACUCGUGAUCUCUCCCGAUCUAAAUAUACCGGCC